AAUCCCGUACAUGGCAUGGAAAAAAACGGAACUUUGUGAGAAAGGAUCUCGCAGUNNAGUUGUUUGGGAAUGCANCUCAAAAUGGGUGGUAAAUGCCAUCUAAGGCUAAAUAUUGGGGAGAGACCGAUAGCGAACAAGUACAGUGAUGGAAAGAUGAAAAGAACUUUGAAAAGAGAGUUAAACAGUACGUGAAAUUGCCAAAAGGGAAGGGUAGGAGGUCAGAGAUGCGGCCUGGGAUUCAGCCUUGCUUUUGCUUGGUGUUUUUCCCAGAUUGCAGGCCAACGUCGGUUUUGGGCACUGGAGAAGGGUAGGAGGAACGUGGCACCUCUCGGGGUGUGUUAUAGCCUCCUACUGGAUACAGCGACCGAGACCGAGGACAGCAGCGUACUCG
rnacentral:rRNA from 1 species